UAGUAGUAGUUGUUGUUGUUGUUGUUGUUGUGGCUGUUGUAAUAGUAGUAGUAGUUUUGCAGAAGUAGUAGUAGUAGUAGUACUAGUAGUAGAAGUAAUAGUAGUAACUUUCAAAGCAAUGUCUACAAGUUUAAAUUCUUUAACCCUGUUCAAGGUGUAUACACACUCAAUAUUUAACUACAGUCCAUGUUUGCAAUUAACAAACUAUCUGAUAAACCUGUGUGUGAGUCAGAUAUGUCUGCUGCUAAUCUAUUGGUUAUAAAAUAUCACAGCCUUUUCUGAUUGGCUGACCUGUUUACCUGUUAGAUUGAAAUUCUGGCGUAUUGUAGAAAAUUUGCAGGUUAAUCUUGUUGUUAAAAUGAAGUUAAUGUAAUGUUCACAAACAGUAGAGUUAAUGAGUUUUUCCAUUAACAAGAAUUUCUUAAAAUAAUAAUGUAUGGAUAUCAUUUGGAAAGUGACAUGAAAUGUUGUUAAAAAGUGAUGCAUACAAGUGUUUCAGAAGUCUGUCUAGGAAUAGAACAACAACUGAAGCUGACCAAUUGAUGGAAGAUACUGCAGAGUUUGGCAGGGAAAUAACCCAAGACAGCAAAGGGGCUCUUUUGGCGCAUUUACCAAGAGGACUUACAUGGCCACAAAUUCAUGAGAUCAUGCAGGAGCCGUACAGUAUAACAGAAGUACAAGUUCUAUAAAAGAUCCACGACCUACUGAAGCCCAGCUAAUUAACAAAAAAGUUUUUAAAAACUGUAAUUUUAUCCCACCUGGGUACUUAUAAUUUACUAAGCUGCCUUCACAAGUUUUAGACUUGCAAUUAUAUUUUAAACUGUCACUUGGAAAGUAAUACAUGUACAUGCAUUAUGUUCUGAAUUUCUUUGAACAAUAAAAUUAUAUAAAAGUAUUUUAAUGAAAUUGAGCACCUAAAUUGCAUUAAAGUGAAAGUAGCUGAGAAAAAUAGUAUCCUUGUGCUCAUGGGCAGCUACAUAUAUUGUGACAAACAUGAAGUAGCUAAAAUAACUUAAAUUUUUCAUUUUGUUUCUUGUAUAUCGUUUGUACAGGGUUCGUGAAUUGUUACUGUAUAUUACUUGACUUGCUUGUAUUUUGUUACUUUGAAUACAUGUUGUUAAGGUUGCAUUAUACUUUUUAACUUUUAAAGUAGCGCCUGUUCUGUUAUGUAAGGGCCUGAUUUAUGAUAAUGGACCUAGAGGCUUUGUAAGCAUGUAUUAAACAACUCUUGUUUGAUCUGAAUAAUUUGUUAAAUAAAUGUAACACAA